GCCCCCCCCGUUUUAACGGACACCUGCUGGACCAACCUGAACACCUGUACGGGCUGAGUAGUGGGGAUGCUUACCUGGCCUGGCGGAGGAGACUGAGGCUACGGCGGCUACGAGCACCAGCAGCAGGUAGAGCAGGUUGAAGACCCUCAUGGCUGCUUCUGAGAAGAGUCCAGAUGGCAGAGCACAGGAUCCAGUACCCAGGAAAAAAUCUCUUCUCUUCAGGAUAAUAAAGCCACCUGGUAUCCACCGCAUCCAACUGCUGCCAAACUCGGAUUCUCUCCGUUUCUUUCUAUCGGCCCUUCAAAACAGACACAAGUGAACCGUGCCGAAUUCUCCCCACCAGGUUUUCUGUGUGACUGAGUAGAGCGUGUUGUAAUAUUUGCUCUUCCUGGGGAUUAAACGUCUUUACAGGGAUUAC